rnacentral:rRNA from 1 species
CGGGGGGGGGGGGCAAGCGUUGUUCGGAAUUACUGGGCGUAAAGGGCGCGUAGGCGGACGAGACAGUCUUUCGUGAAAUCCCACGGGCUCAACCGUGGAACUGCGGGAGAUACUACUCGUCUUGAGUUCGGGAGAGGAGUGUGGAAUUCCCAGUGUAGCGGUGAAAUGCGUAGAUAUUGGGAGGAACGCCGGUGGCGAAGGCGGCACUCUGGACCGAUACUGACGCUGAGGCGCGAAAGCUAGGGGAGCAAACGGGAUUAGAUACCCCGGUAGUCCUAGCUGUAAACGAUGAGCACUUGGUGUAGCGGGUAUCGACCCCUGCUGUGCCGGAGUUAACGCAUUAAGUGCUCCGCCUGGGGAGUACGGUCGCAAAGGCUG